rnacentral:rRNA from 1 species
GGUCAUCGUAUACGAACAGAGUUUCUAAUUCGGUACGUACAGAUUCAUGUGUGCCCGCAAUGUCACUUUGACGCUUACCGAGUAAUUUAGUCAAUACCAAGGAAACCAGCGAGGUUGGCAAUGAACCUAUUGACACCAUUAAGAUCUCGAUUAUGUACGGUUGCUCGCGACUGGAGGCCCCUACGCACGUAAAUAGUCUGGUUUUGGUUGGGCCCGAGCGGGGCCGGCGAAACCACUGAGAUCUAUUGGAGCCCGGCUAGCGUGCGGGGGCACCGCCGCUGCUGCGUAAGCUUACAGACGGGAUAGUUGAAAGCUACCAUGAAAGACACGGAUGGUACCACUGGUGCCCAUUGCCCCUUAGUCCCAAGCUAAGGCCUCUCCCUCGGACUCUUUGCCGAUGGUGUAGGUUCCUUCCGUCGUCCG